rnacentral:lncRNA from 13 species
CUGGUGACAGAAUGAGAUUCCAUCUCAAAAAAUAAAUAAAUAAAUAAAUAAAUAUAAAUUUUAAAAACGAUAAAAUAAGAAGCAUUCUGCAUACUUCGUGCAGCAAUUCUGCCACAGCCCCUAACGACGGCCACUUCUCAUUCCAAAUCCUGCCCUACGUUUUUCCUGUUUCAGGUUCAGUUUCAGUUUUAGAAUAAAUGAUUAAUCCAAUUCACCUGGAGCAAACGGCAGGAGACAUCCUGCUUUGGUUGUAAUAAAAUUUCAUUGCAAAUGCACUGAUCAAAGUCACAGUGAAAUAUUACAGGGUCUAGAGACCCAAGAGAAUACAACCAAGAAUAAAGGAAACAAAAAAACUGUUUGGAACCCCGUUCUGGGAAGAACGUUACCUUCAGACGCUGUCAUGGAUAUGCCUCAGUCCUUAUACUCAUGCUAGUGCAUUCGUCAGUUUUCACACUGCUAUAAAGAAAUACCCAAGACUGGGUCACUUGUGAAAGACGGAGGUUUAACUGACUGGCAUUUCUGUGUCACUGGGGAGCCCUCAGGAAACUUACGAUCAUGGCAGAAGGGGAAGCAGGCACCUCUUACACGGUGAGAGAGAGCGUGUGUGAAGGAGGAACCCUCAGACACUUCUAAAACUGUCAGGGAUCUUCUGAGAACUCACUCAUUGUCAGGAGAACAGCACUGGGGGACCGUCCCCAUGAUCCAAUCACCUCCUUCCCUCUACAGGUGGAGAACGACUAGGCUGAAACCGAGGGCCACUGAAGCACAUGCUAGAAAUAUUAAGUCUGGGCAUCUGGUUCGAAUUCAUUUCAGUGGCAGAAGAGUCUUAUCAAUUACAUGCUCAAAAAGAAUCAACAAUAUCACUGUAGAACACAGAGAGGCCAAGCAUUAUUUACCUCGGUGGACUGAGGUAACCUCAGCUCCAGAGAUCUGCAACUCAACCCGAGCACGGCCGUCUUUGGCUCAGAAAACCUUGUCCAGUUUUCAGCACGCAGACCGUGUAUGCAUCUGGUGUAUCCCAAAUGAAAUGGAAACCACCACGUUGUUACAAAAAGCUUGGUGCUGUGGUGAGCAAGUUCCUGGCUAUCAACUCCAGGGUACCAGAGUGAAGGGGUAAGAGUCCAGGCACCAGGCUUGAAGACACAUUGGAACGAAGUAAACGCCCUUCUGACAACCAUGGGUGUUGCAGCCAAACCCUUUCUGAUCCUAGCCUCCUCGUCUGUAUGAAGGGCUGCCAAGGAGGUAGCAUGAGCUAUGCACGUAGUACUUGCCGCAAUAUUUACCACAGAGGAAGUCCUCUGCAAACAUUAG